rnacentral:rRNA from 1 species
UACGUAGGGGGCGAGCGUUGUCCGGAUUUAUUGGGCGUAAAGAGCUCGUAGGCGGUUUGGCAAGUCGGGUGUGAAAACUCCGGGCUCAACUCGGAGACGCCACUCGAUACUGCCAUGACUCGAGUCCGGUAGGGGAGUGCGGAAUUCCUGGUGUAGCGGUGAAAUGCGCAGAUAUCAGGAGGAACGCCGGUGGCGAAGGCGGCACUCUGGGCCGGUACUGGCGCUGAGGAGCGAAAGCGUGGGGAGCGAACAGG